rnacentral:RNase_P_RNA from 1 species
GCCUGGGGGGGAAACCCACGACCAGUGCAACAGAGAGCAAACCGCCGAUGGCCCACGUAAGUGGGAUCAGGUAAGGGUGAAAGGGUGCGGUAAGAGCGCACCGCGCGGCUGGUAACAGUCCGUGGCACGGUAAACUCCACCCGGAGCAAGGCCAAAUAGGGGUUCAUAAGGUACGGCCCGUACUGAACCCGGGUAGGCUGCUUGAGCCAGUGAGCGAUUGCUGGCCUAGAUGAAUGACUGUCCACGACAGAACCCGGCUUAUCGGUCAGUUUCACUU